UACGUAGGGGGCUAGCGUUGUUCGGAAUUACUGGGCGUAAAGCGCACGUAGGCGGCUUCUUAAGUUGGUGGUGAAAUCCUGGAGCUCAACUCCAGAACUGCCUUCGAUACUGGGAAGCUCGAGUCCGGGAGAGGUGAGUGGAACUGCGAGUGUAGAGGUGAAAUUCGUAGAUAUUCGCAAGAACACCAGUGGCGAAGGCGGCUCACUGGCCCGGUACUGACGCUGAGGUGCGAAAGCGUGGGGAGCAAACAGG
rnacentral:rRNA from 1 species